GAUGAACGCUGGCGGCGUGCCUAAUACAUGCAAGUCGAGCGAACAGACGAGGAGCUUGCUCCUCUGACGUUAGCGGCGGACGGGUGAGUAACACGUGGAUAACCUACCUAUAAGACUGGGAUAACUUCGGGAAACCGGAGCUAAUACCGGAUAAUAUAUUGAACCGCAUGGUUCAAUAGUGAAAGACGGUUUUGCUGUCACUUAUAGAUGGAUCCGCGCCGCAUUAGCUAGUUGGUAAGGUAACGGAUUACGAAGGCAACGAUGCGUAGCCGACCUGAGAGGGUGGUCAGCCGCACUGGGACGGAGACCGGGUCCAGACUCCUACGGGAGGCAGCCGGAGGGAUACGUGCGGAAUGGGCGGAGACUUGACGGAGCAACGCCGCGGCAGGGAGGAAGAUCUUCGGAUCGUAAAACUCUGUUAUUAGGGAAGAACAAAUGUGUAAGUAACUAUGCACGUCUUGACGGUACCUGAUCAGAAAGGCACGGCUAACUACGUG
rnacentral:rRNA from 1 species